rnacentral:rRNA from 1 species
UACGUAGGCAGCGAGCGUUGUUCGGAGUUACUGGGCGUAAAGAGCGUGUAGGCGGCCAGACAGGUCCGUUGUGAAAACUCGAGGCUCAACCUCGAGACGCCGAUGGAAACCGUCUGGCUAGAGUCCGGAAGAGGAGAGUGGAAUUCCUGGUGUAGCGGUGAAAUGCGCAGAUAUCAGGAAGAACACCCGUGGCUAAGGCGGCUCUCUAGUACGGUACUGACGCUGAGACGCGAAAGCGUGGGGAGCGAACAGG